rnacentral:rRNA from 1 species
UACGUAGGGGGCAAGCGUUGUCCGGAUUUAUUGGGCGUAAAGAGCGUGUAGGCGGCCAUGUAGGUCCGUUGUGAAAACUCGAGGCUCAACCUCGAGACGCCGAUGGAAACCAUCAGACUAGAGUCCGGAAGAGGAGAGUGGAAUUCCUGGUGUAGCGGUGAAAUGCGCAGAUAUCAGGAAGAACACCCGUGGCUAAGGCGGCUCUCUAGUACGGUACUGACGCUGAGACGCGAAAGCGUGGGGAGCGAACAGG